rnacentral:rRNA from 1 species
AUAUAGGGUCGUGGGAGACUACCACGUUGAUAGGCCGCAGAUGUAAAGGCAGUAAUGUCAAAGUCGAGCGGUACUAAUAGCCCGACACUUCAGUUGU